GUUGGGUUCUCUCAACGGUACRUCUGGUUCAGGGUUGAU
rnacentral:rRNA from 1 species